GGGCGCAUGGUGUAGCGGUAUCACAUCUCAUUUGCAAUGAUUUGAUCAUAACUUGAGAAGGUCCUGGGUUGAGUCCCAGCGGGUCCA